ACCGGCAGCUCAAGUGGUGGCCAUUUUUAUUGGCCCAAAACGGUCGGUAGCCGGUUGGAAAAGCUCUGGGGAAAACCCGCAGCCUAAACGUGGGACUUGGUGGAGAUACUAUUAGACUUGAGGUCGGGAGAGGUUAGGGGUACCCCCAGGGUAGGGGUGAAAUCCUAUAAUCCUGGGAGGACCACCUGUGGCGAAGGCGCCUAACUGGAACGAACCUGACGGUGAGUAACGAAAGCCAGGGGCGCGAACCG
rnacentral:rRNA from 1 species